ensembl:lncRNA
CGCACCCACACACAGUAAGGAGAAUUGAAUGAAGACAUUCUUCGUUCUGAAGCAUGAAUCUAAAUCAUUCAAAUCAGACUCAUCCCUUUAAAUAAAAUGAGAUAGGUCAAUAAGAUCACACAGAGCUGAAAUAGACUCUCACUGUUACCAAGAUGACCAGAGGACGCCAAACCUGCGUUGAGUUUUACUUAUUAGCUCACCUGCUUGCGCGUGCCAAGUGGUUUUCUUAAUUUGGGUAAUUGGUUGCAUCUGGUGCGGGUCACUUAAAAGGGAACCGGGCAGCACGUUGUUGUCCUCCAAUGUUUGGCAGUGUAGCGUCUCCCAAACGCGGUUAAAGACUUUUUGAAGUAAAGAGGCGCAUCUCAUCUGGACCUGAUGUGUCUAUCAUGGAUUUUUAACUGCAGUUCUGUGAGUAUCCCAACUUAACCAUGAAGAUGAACUGCGAACUGUAAGUCAUUAGUUUCUCAUUACUCUUGGGCACAUUAAUGUAUUUUGGCUUCCUGGUGAGUUCACCUGUUAGCUGAAGGUUGAUCUGAGUAUUAAGGAUGUUUUAUUGGUUCAUGGGUUACUUAGGUGUUUGGUUUAUGUUGGUUUUAAUGGUUUGUUAAAAUGGUUACAGGUUCUAAGUUAUUGUUGUAAGCUGGAGUAAUGGGUUUGGUUCUGAUGUCUUCAGUCUUCUUUCCAUCUACUCUCCUGAGCUCUGCAUGUUCAUCACAUGAGUGUUGCUUUACUGAUGGUGUGCUUGCUCUGGGUGUGGUCUGAGCAAGCAGAGGUGCAUACUGGGAUACAGAGCUGUCUGAAGUCUACAGGUCUGUAGACACGCCCCCUCAGGGGAAAACGAGUGUUUGAGAAACCGUUGUGACGUCAGUUACAUGGACUAGAAUGUUCUUUAAGAUGGAGACUGGGAUUCAGAAGGAGAAACAUCAGGGGGAGAUGAAGGGGCUCCUCAUCUCAACGACUAAAACACAACUUCAGUCUGACGCAGAACCAUGGAACACAUUCAACAGUCCCCUCCAGGAAUCGUGACUCCUCAGGAUUUCCAAGAAGGUCUUAUUUGGGGCCAUUCCAAGAUGGAUCCUGCUCCUCAAGAGCGACCCCCUUCCACUGGGUGGUCUUCUGAACAGAUGACCUCCUUCCUGUCCUCAGGCUGACUAAAGCUGCACCGUUCGCAUCUGUGAAGGCCCCUCAUUCAGGAAACCACUGGACUACAAAGACAUGACUUCAGAGACGUUGAAUCAACCUGGGACACAUUUUGGAGACACCAGGCAUAAUCCAUCACCAGUGUGGGACGCCACUGAAGAAUGUUGUACAUAAUUUACGUCUCUGGAGACAUUGAUUGAUUGUUCUGGGUGUCCUGGCAGGAGAGCUGGGGUUGGAUGAUGGAAUGUUAUUUGGCAUGAGGUUUUUACCGUGUGUGCCUGCCUGCCUGUUAUACGUGUGCUUGGUUCAAUCUGGCAGGGGGUUCGACGUGUGCUUGGUUCAAUCUGGCAGGGGGUUCUACGCGUGUUUGGUUCAAUCUGGCAGGGGGUUCUCCGUCUCUGUCUCUGUGUGUGUGUGUGUGUUGCUUUGACGGUGAUAAUGUUCAUACAGGGGUCUGUGUGGUUGGCAUGGUCAACUAAAUCAUACCUGAUGGACGGCCACAUGUCUACUUGAGGCCUCAGUAGACAUGAGCCCUGCGCGACGCUCCGGAGCGAUAUCCAACACACUGGGCAGGGAGGAGAGUAUCCAACUCAAGUGUAAAAGGAUGCAAGCGGCGUGUUCAGAUCAGUGACUUCAAACUAGGACUACACCAACCAGGAUCAAUGGAGGAUGGACACCUAAAGGCAUUCCACAAGGAGAGUCUGGUGUUGGAAAGGGACCGCAAUGGAUAUUCAAGAUGACCUUCAUAGUGAUGAGGCGGCUCUUCCUACCUGGCUGGAUUGAUGGAGAGCCCUGUGGAUCUUGUCAGUUGCACGUCUUCUCAGGCUGAACUGUAUUUGUUUCGGACAGGACUAGCUGAACGAUUGGUUCCCUUAAAUCAGAACCAAUCUGGGAACUCCAACUAGUGCGCUCUUCAAGCUGAAGUUGUGCUCUUCAGCUGAGGCGGUAAGGAAACCUUCACUGGGGCUUCAAGGUGUAUAGAGGAGAACGUUUCAAAGUGUUCCAUGGUACUCUGAUGAAGACCGUUGUUGUGUUCAACUGGCUGAGAGGAAGAACCCUCACAUCCUUCUCUUGGCCUUUCUCCUCUGAGAAUCCUGGCGCCCUCUUGAAGGAUAUUCCAGCUCUUGUAACUGAUGUCACGACAGAUUCUCAAACUUGGUUUCUCCUGAGGGGUGUGUCAAUAGAACUGAAGACUUCACACAGCACUGUAUGCCAGCAUGCAUCUCUGCUCACUCAGACCACACCCUCAUAAGUAGGAUGCAACACGCACAAUGGCAUGUCAAGUCUAUCAUCUUUAAUUCUUUAAACCAAGAAGAUGGUUGGAUAGUUCAGGAAUUAGGCUUCAUUUUAUUAUGGGCAGUCCUUUCGCUCAAAUGUCCACUUCUCACUGGACCUGUACAUGUGUUGGCUGGCUGGCAUGAUUUGCUGUUGGUGAUGAGGCGGUCAGGCUGACGUUGCAGGGCUAUGGUCAGCUCUCUUUGAGCUCAACGUUUAGAUUUGCUCUGUAUGGUUUCUACCCUGAAUAAUCUAGAAAAUUGUUCUGUUUAUUGUAAAAUGUAGACACGGUUUCGUAUUUAAUUAUUCCAUUGUUUUUAGGUAAGGAUUUGAGGUUUAAAGUUGUUGUGGGACGUACAUGGUAGUUUGGUUCUUCGUACGGUUUUGAGUGAUCAUAUAACUUGUACACACUGGGUGCAUAAUAAUUUAAAGGUACACUGAAUAGUAAUGACCAACAUUAACAAACAGACAUCAAGGUAAGUCUGUUGUCUGUGUUUUAAUGAAGACCAUCGCUGAACUUCAGGAUCUUCCUCCGUUCAGCUCAAGGUGAGGCGCUGGUUAUGUUUUUUCUUUGGUUGGUUCCGGCCGGAAUGUUCGGAUUCCAGUCGGACGGUUUGUGCUUCCCACUGGGGAAGGUUCUGAGUGCGGUCACUUGAUUUAGUCUUAAUGGUUAGCAUAGAACGUUGUAGUCUUGACAACCAUAAGAACCCACCUAGCAGUUAGUGGACGUUGGUACCCUGAGGGAAUCUGGCGAACGUUCUGGGUUGUAUCUGCGUAACAUCGAGCCGUUAACUAUUUUCAGUCGGUUUCCAUUGGGAAUUGUUGUCCCUUAUCUUAAACAACUUAAGUUUGAUAUUAAAUGCAUGCUGACACGUACAACGUACAAUACGUUGAUAAUUUCCGAUGGUUGCGUCGUACUUUUUACCACGUUGACGGGACUCUCGCUGCGUAUAAAACGACGUUCUACUUGCGGGCCCAUUUCUGACCAUCAGUGAAGGCUGAAAAUCAUUUCAAGAUGGAAGACAAUUUGGCAAUUCUUCAAGGGAACCCAGCACCUGAAUAUGGCCGAGUAUAUUUGAUUUAAUAUCGAUACUGCUUACUGUUCUUUGGUACUUCAGCUUUUGUACAUUCUAAAUAUCUGGUGUCAUUAAUUGCCACAGAAGUUAAACCCUACCCAAUGGAAUGACGUUAAACAACGACUUUGGUGCAGAGUUACCAACUGGAUAAUAUCAAAGCUAAGAUAAUGGCACUUUCCCACAUGUUACAGUAGAAGAAACUCUAGAACUGUACAAGGUUAAAAAGGUAACAUGUAGUUUGUCCCAAGGUGUCUGCCUCCUCACCCUGAGCAAGACCUCCACCUCCUCACCCAGAGCCACACCUCCACCUCCUGUCCUCCAGAACAGCUGAAAGGCGAGGCUGAGAGGCUGGGGACCGGAGGCUUGUGGUGCCAGGAUGGACCGGAGACUGAGGCUGGAGACCAGGGGCCUGCAGCACCGGACCAGAGGCCAGACCAGGAAUCCAUGGCUGAAGGAGCUGAUGGAGGAGCCGUGCUGAAGGCCCUGCCUUGUGGAGGAGCUGAUGGAGGCCCUGCCUGGGGGAGGUGCUGAUGGUGGCCCUGCCUGGUGAAGGAUGUCUUUCCUGGGGCAGAUGGAGCCUGACUCUGAAGACUCUGUCUGAGGAGAGCUGUUGGAGGAGCUGAGACGCUGGAAUAGAUCAACAAGGAUUCCUCAACGUGUUUCUGGAGCGGAGGCGAGCUGAUAAGGGAGCCGUGAAUCUGGAGGAUGACAUCACACUACCAAGAAGGAUUACCAGGACUCUGGCUGAGGAGAGCUGAUGGAGGAGCCAAGGCUCUGGAGGACGACGUCACGUUACCAACAAGGAUCCUCGUCAAUUUGCAUAAAACCAGGAAUCUGGAUGACUGAUGGAGAAGCUGUACAUCUGGAAGGCAAAUCCUGAGGACAACCAGGACUCUACCAUCAAGGAUUCCUCACACACCUGAGCUGAACCUCACCUGAUCCUGGUUGGUCGGGGGCAGACACACCUGAGCUGAACCCCACCUGAUUCUGACAUCCUGCUGGUCCCGUCUCCUCAGUUCAUCUGAGCCUCGUCCUCCAGAAGACCUGUUGAGCUCAGCGGUCUGAGGCUGAUGGAUCAAUGACCUCCAGUGGGAGUGAUCUUCUUGACCCCACAUCUAGCCGUGUGCUUCCACACGCCUUUCUCUCACAUCUGUCACUAACCUCACUACUUCCCUACCCUCUACUCCUUCCCCUUCUUCUUCCUUCUCCGUGGUUCGAACCUUUACUCUGAAGGAGUGUCUUCUUGAACUUAUACACUGAAGGAACGUCUUCCUGCCCUCAGAGGGUUCAGCGUUAGGGUUGAGGUCAGGGUUUAGAGUCAGGGUCAGACAGAGCUGGUCAGAGCUGGUCAGGGAGGACUGGUUUUACACAAACCUCUUCACUUGCUUUCUGAAUGGUGGUGACAUUUUGAAACGAUUCAUUUGGGAAAAUGUUUUCCUCUGCUUUCCUUUGCAUAAAUAUGUAUUAAACUUCUGUCAAGUGUUUUUGUUUAUAUAUUAAAAUCCUACAUUGACUUCUGCAUGCUUGGUGCGGUUCAUUUAAUUGUCCUUUAACUUGGUUAAUGUCAAGCUAAACUCCUGCAAUACAUUUAAUAUACAUGAUGAAUGUUAUUCUGCAAUGUUCACAUAAUCCAUUUUGUAAAAAUAUAUUAAAUCCAUAUUGCUAGUUUCAAGCCUAUUC